rnacentral:rRNA from 1 species
GACGAACGCUGGCGGCGUGCCUAAUACAUGCAAGUAGGACGCAGUUGCGAACGGGUGAGUAACGCGUAGGUAACUGCCUCUUAGAGGGGGGUAAAUAUUGGAAACGAUAGCUAAUACCGCAUACUAGUAGAUGGACCUGCGUUGUAUUCGGUAGUAGGUCGGGUAAUGGCCUCCCUAGGCGACGAAACAUAGCCGACCUUGAGGGGUGGUCGGCCACAAUGGGGCUGGGACACGGGCCAGAAUGCUACGGGAGGCAGCAGUAGGGGAUCUUCGGCAAUGGGGGGAAACCUGACCGAGGAACGCCGCGUGAGUGAAGAAGGUUUUCGGAUCGUAAAGCUCUGUUGUUAAGGAAGCGGUACUUAACCAGAAAGGGACGGCUAACUACGUGCCAGCAGCCGCGGUAAUUC